AUGGUUUCUGAGUGGACAUCCAAUUUAUUGAUUCCCAGUGCUGGGAUCCCAGUAACCCACUGCGCCGGCCAAAAUAGCAGCGAUAAGACUGAUGGUGCUCUUCUGCCCGGGAAUCUCUGGUCUGGCUUCCUUCUUGAGUCCAUAACAAGCGGCUCUGCCUUCCUGGAGCUCCAAACACCAGUCAGUAGGGGAACCAGUCCUGUUUACUCUGCAUGAAGAGCUGCCGCACCAAGGCGCUGGCAAAACUGCUGCGCCAGCCACAAGAGUUGCACUGGCGACCUGUGGGGCUCCUCCACUGUAAAUCUUAUGGUCCGUGAGAGACGAAAAUUCAUCUGAAAAUGUGGCAAUCUCUCGUUCUCUGAGCUUUCACUGGGAGCUACAAUCCCAAGCUGUUAGUGAUCAGCCAUCUUGGAUCAGAUCUCAAACCCCAUCUCUACUAAAAAAACAAAGAUGAGCCGGGCAUGGUAUUGCACGCCUGUAGUCCCAGUUCCUCAGGGGGCUGAGGCGGAAGGAUCACCUGAGCCUUGGGAGGUAGAGGCUGCAGUGAACCAUGAUAGGGCCUGCACUUUAGCCUGAGUGACAGAAUGAAACCUGACUCAAACAAACAAACAAACAAACAAAAAAAAAAAAAGAAAGAAAGAAAGAAAAAGAAAAGGAAAAAGAAAGAAGAAAGAUUUUUGUACCCAAAUGUUUUUAGGUUAUCCUCUUAAUAACUUUGGUAGUAAUUUACUUUUUCAUAUUUGUCUUUACUGUUGAUUUAAUUUUUUGUUUAUAUCAAGGUGUGGAGAUAUAAUUUAAUCAUGGCAUGUUUGGUAGACUACAGAUGCUGGAAAAGGGCUUAAGAGAUGAUGAUGAAUCAAAAUACAGGAUAGAGGCUGGGUGCGGUGGCUCAGGCCUGUAAUCCCAGCAUUUUGGGAAGUUGAGGUGCAUGAAUUGUUUGAAUCCAGGAAUUUGAGACCAGCCUGGGCAAUAUAGUCAUAUCUUGUCUGUACAAAAUAUUUUUUAAAAAUUAGUUGGGUAUUGUAGCAUAUGCCUGUAGUUUCAGCUACUUGGCCAACUGAGGCUAAAGGAUUGCUUCAGAUAGGGAGGUCGAGGCUGAAGUGAGCAAUGAUUGUGCCACUACACUGCAGUUAGUAAGGUUUUUGUUUGUUUGUUUGCGGCAGGGUCUCACUCUGUCUGAAAACAAACAAACAAAAAUUAAAAAAAUUAAAAACCCAAUGCUCAGGAUAGAAAUCUCCAUACAUUAUAAUACAUAAAAAUAAUGACAGAGAUCAUAUAAAUAAAGUCAUUUCUGUGUUGAAGACUUUCUGAUGA
rnacentral:lncRNA from 13 species